GACGAACGCUGGCGGCGUGCUUAACACAUGCAAGUCGAACGGAAAGGCCCUGCUUUUGUGGGGUGCUCGAGUGGCGAACGGGUGAGUAACACGUGAGUAACCUGCCCUUGACUUUGGGAUAACUUCAGGAAACUGGGGCUAAUACCGGAUAGGAGCUCCUGCUGCAUGGUGGGGGUUGGAAAGUUUCGGCGGUUGGGGAUGGACUCGCGGCUUAUCAGCUUGUUGGUGGGGUAGUGGCUUACCAAGGCUUUGACGGGUAGCCGGCCUGAGAGGGUGACCGGCCACAUUGGGACUGAGAUACGGGCCAGACUCCUACGGGAGGCAGCAGUGGGGAAUAGUGCACAAUGCGCGGAAGCCUGAUGCAGCAACGCCGCGUGCGGGAUGACGGCCUUCGGGUUGUAAACCGCUUUCGCCUGUGACGAAGCGUGAGUGACGGUAAUGGGUAAAGAAGCACCGGCUAACUACGUG
rnacentral:rRNA from 1 species